UCCGGUUUGGCACCGGCAGUCUCCCAUGAGUCCCCGGCAUUACCCGCUGGCAACAUGGAACAGGGGUUGCGCUCGUUGCGCCACUUAAGGCAACACCUCACGGCACGAGCUGACGACAGCCAUGCAGCACCUGUGCAGGCUCCCGAAGGAGCCCCGUGUUUCCACGGGUUUACCCUGCAUGUCAAGCCCUGGUAAGGUUCUUCGCGUUGCAUCGAAUUAAAGAACAUGCUCCGCUGCUUGUGCAGGCCCCCGUCAAUUUCUUUGAGUUUUAACCUUGCGGCCGUACUCCCCAGGCGGAUGACUUAACGCGUUAGCUGCGCCACCGAAACGCUAAGCGCCCCGACAGCUAGUCAUCAUCGUUUACGGCGUGGACUAC
rnacentral:misc_RNA from 1 species